rnacentral:piRNA from 1 species
UGCAAUCAUACUGGCUUGUGUUAGUGAGGU